rnacentral:lncRNA from 1 species
UAUAUAGCAGUAGACCAGUUGUACCUUUAUCAUUUUUAUAAGACUACUUCACUGCGUUUCCAAUACUGUUACAAUGAGUUGCAUCAUACCUCUGCAGUACAGUACAACUCUUCCCAUGACAACCACUGCCCCAGAUAUGGCGAAAGGAAUUUAAAUAACAGAAUAUUAAACAGUAGAUAUCUCACUUUAAAACCCGUACAAAAAUACUUUACAGACGAAAUACAUGACAGGGUUUCCAGAUUACCAGAGCUAUGCCGAGCACACGGUGGGAUAUUGCGCAAUCCAGGCGCACAGUCCACUACUGUUUUUUUUCUCGGUUGUAAACGCGUCGAACGAGCGAUAGAUCGCCCGUUUUUAAACGAAUCACAGAAAACUUUUGUUGUAAAUUCUGCACUCUUGAAAGUCACUGACAGUCACUAUGCACCGCGAGAUGUAGUUCUUGUAGCUCUGUAACGCUGCUCUCUUGCUCUUGUUCUCCUCGGAGAGAAAGUCGCUGUAGAUUCCCAGUGCGCGGUGCCGGGCUUCGUCUUGGCUGGCCAGAUGCUGGUAUUGGGGUGAGUCCAAAUAGAUGCUGAAGUCUAUGGCUUUCUCGUGCUCAGAAAUGUCAUGAAGCUUCGUCAUGGAGCCGUUCGUAGGCUGCUUGCAAAUGCCGUCGCUGACCGGACUGCUGCUGGCGUUAGUGCUGUGGAAAGCGAGGUAGUCCCCCUCGUAAAAACCGGCCACUUCCAUGGAUCUUAACACCCGCCGGAUUGCGGCAGGACGGAGAUCAGGGUCUCGCCUUCCCCUGACAACUUCGCAAGUGUCACCGACGGCAGGUCAAAACUCACGCGAAAAUUCGAGUGUCUUCCGUCGGCAGAAAUAACUAGAUGACUUUUGUCUAGUAAUGUAGGUGAUAGGUUGCUUGCCCAGCGCUUGCUGGAGAGCUCGAGUCAGUUCCCAUGGCUCGGAAAGGGGUGUUUAUAGGGGUGUGAGAGGGGGCGGCGAUUCUCUGUUUGGUGUGACGCGUUUUUCUGGUUUUGACCGCAGACACACUUUUCGAACUCAAAACUGGGUACUGUGAACACACAAAUGAAUAACAAUAGAAAAUAAACAUAAACAUGAUACAUAAACAAAUACGAAUGUGCUGACUUUAGGCUUUGCUAAGGAACACCUGCUUAACCGUCUACCAAAAGAUUUUGAACAAACAUAGAUUCAGAAUGAGAUUUAUUGGCAAGUAUGUUUUUACUUUUAAGGACUUUGUCUCGGUGAAGCUUCAGGUGAAAAAAAAAAAAAACACCAGUUAAAAAAGAAUAUACACAUGCAUAACAGUAUGUACACACACACACACACACACACACACACACACACACACACACACACACACACACAACUAAUAAUAACUCUAUACAGACAGAACUCUACACAACUUUUAUAGUAAACUAAUAAAAUAAAGAGGAUACAGCUUCAGGUUUUCGGAGAAGCGGUCAGUUACCAUGGACAACAGUCAUUAUUUAUUAAUAUUUGUAAUUUGACUAUAAUAAAGUCUUUUUGAGAGCUGUGUAGUAAUUAAGCAACAAGGCACCUGAGGAUGUGCAGUCAGUCAUGCCUAAAGGCCGUUGUUAGCCAUUCACAAUAUAGCACAACCUUGAGAGAGUUGCCUUUUUCUGGUAAAUGGUUAGCACAUAAUACAAAAUACUAGGAUUUAAAUAUAUAUAUAUAUUAUUAGUAAAACUU